UACGUAGGUGGCGAGCGUUGUCCGGAUUUACUGGGCGUAAAGGGAGCGUAGGCGGACUUUUAAGUGAGAUGUGAAAUACCCGGGCUCAACUUGGGUGCUGCAUUUCAAACUGGAAGUCUAGAGUGCAGGAGAGGAGAAUGGAAUUCCUAGUGUAGCGGUGAAAUGCGUAGAGAUUAGGAAGAACACCAGUGGCGAAGGCGAUUCUCUGGACUGUAACUGACGCUGAGGCUCGAAAGCGUGGGGAGCAAACAGGAUUAGAUACCCCU
rnacentral:rRNA from 1 species